UCUGCAGGCGGUUUGGUAAGUUGGGUGUGAAAGCUCCGGGCUUAACCCGGAGAGGUCAUUCAAUACUGCCAAACUUGAGGACAUCAGAGGAGCGUGGAAUUUCCGGUGUAGCGGUAAAAUGCGCAGAUAUCGGAAGGAACACCAAUGGCGAAGGCAGCGCUCUGGGGUGGGCCUGACGCUAAGAGACGAAAGCUAGGGGAGCGAACA
rnacentral:rRNA from 1 species